GAGCUGUUACACUGCAAAACCUAAACCUGACAUUUUUGUUGGCUCAGGAGAGAUGUUGAUAGAGAGAAUUUCUUCAUCUUUUUCCAUCACAUGGAUUUCAUUGGGACUUCACUGGAGCUCAGCACCGCGUCGGUAGUGGCACAUUGACCAGUCUGUGGUCACCUCACCUGGCACCUGGUGGUGUAGUGGCACAUUGACCAGUCUGUGGUCUCCUCACCUGGCACCUGGUGGUGUAGUGGCACAUUGACCAGUCUGUGGUCUCCUCACCUGGCACCUGGUGGUGUAGUGGCACAUUGACCAGUCUGUGGUCUCCUCACCUGGCACCUGGUGGUACCAUCGGUCACAAUGGGCCGAACACCUCAGAAAGAGCCAAAAGAAGAGAGGAGGGAGAAACCUGAGAGAAGUAACCCCUCUCCGGGAACCGGCCCCCCCUCUCUGGAUAAAUCUAAUGAACCCUUCAGUUGGGAGGAGUACCUUAAGGAAACGUCAUCCACAGCCGCUUCUCCCAGCUGUUUCAGACAGG